GAUGAACGCUGGCGGCGUGCCUAACACAUGCAAGUCGAACGGAGAUUACGGACGGAAGUUUUCGGAUGGAAGCCUGUAAUUCUUAGUGGCGGACGUGUGAGUAACGCGUGGGCAACCUGCCCUAUACAGGGGGAUAGCAGCUGGAAACGGCUGGUAAGACCGCAUAAGUCGGUUAAAUCGCAUGAUUUGAUCGGGAAAUGAGCAAUCAGGUAUAGGAUGGGCCCGCGUCCGAUUAGCCAGUUGGCAGGGUAAAAGCCUACCAAAGCGACGAUCGGUAGCCGGACUGAGAGGUCGGACGGCCACAUUGGGACUGAGACACGGCCCAAACUCCUACGGGAGGCAGCAGUGGGGGAUAUUGCACAAUGGAGGAAACUCUGAUGCAGCGACGCCGCGUGAGUGAAGAAGUAUUUCGGUAUGUAAAGCUCUAUCAGCAGGGAAGAUGAUGACGGUACCUGACUAAGAAGCCCCGGCUAACUACGUG
rnacentral:rRNA from 1 species